CUCAUAAUUAAGCCUGUGACUGCUCCAGUGAGACUGCAGAGAUGAGUUCAGCUUCAUCAUCAACCAUGUUCUCAGUGGCUCUGAUCCUGCUGCUGGCUGCUGCAUCCUGUGUGUACGGUAUUGAUCUCAUCCAGGCAGAUUCAGUGAUUGUGCAGCCUGGACAGUCUUUGACCAUCACCUGUCGAGUCUCUGGUUAUUCUUUAACUUCUAGCAGCUAUGCAACAAACUGGAUCAGACAGCGGGAUGGAAAACAAAUGGAUUGGAUUUUUACCAUGUGGUAUGAUGGGAGCACAAGCAAAAAUGAUGCUUUAAAGAACAAGUUCAGCAUGAGCAGAGACACUUCUGCUAGAACAGUGACAAUAACAGGACAGAAUCUGCAGCCUGAGGACACAGCUGUUUAUUACUGUGCACGUAUGUACACAGUGAUGGACACAGCUGUUUAUUACUGUGCACGUGUUGAUGGUCAGACUCUGACUGAGUCUGAUCCAGCAGUUAAAAGGCCUGGAGAAUCUCACACACUGACCUGUACAGCCUCUGGAUUCACAUUCAGCAGACUACUGGAUGCACUGGGUGUUGAUGGUCAGACUCUGACAAGUCUGAACCAGGUUAAAAGACCAGGAGAAUCCCACAGACUGACCUGUACAGCCUCUGGAUUCACAUUCAGCAGCUACUAUGGCUGGAUCAGACAGGCUCCUGGAAAAGGACUGGAGUGGAUUGCUCAUCUGGAGUUGUUGAUGGUGGUGGUGUACUGCAUCUGGUGCAGCCUCCUGUUGAGCCAGACCAACAUGCAGUUGUGA